rnacentral:rRNA from 1 species
GAUGAACGCUGGCGGCGUGCCUAAUACAUGCAAGUCGAGCGAACAGACGAGGAGCUUGCUCCUCUGACGUUAGCGGCGGACGGGUGAGUAACACGUGGAUAACCUACCUAUAAGACUGGGAUCACUUCGGGAAACCGGAGCUAAUACCGGAUAAUAUCUUGAACCGCAUUGUUCAAUAGUGAAAGACGGAUUUGCUGUCACUUAUAGAUGGAUCCGCGCCGCAUUAGCUAGUUGGUAAGGUAACGGCUUACCAAGGCAACGAUGCGUAGCCGACCUGAGAGGGUGAUCGGCCACACUGGAACUGAGACACGGUCCAGACUCCUACGGGAGGCAGCAGUAGGGAACCUUCCGCAAUGGGCGAAAUCUUGACGGAGCAACGCCGCGGGAGGGAUGAAGGUCUUCGGAUCGUAAAACUCUGUUAUUAGGGAAGAACAAAUGUGUAAGUAAAUAUGCACGUCUUGACGGUACCUAAUCAGAAAGCCACGGCUAACUACGUG